UACGAAGGGGGCUAGCGUUGUUCGGAAUUACUGGGCGUAAAGCGCGCGCAGGCGGUUUUCCAAGGCAGUGGUGAAAGCCCGGAGCUCAACUCCGGAAUUGCCAUUGAAACUGUAAAACUUGAGUACGAGAGAGGUGAGUGGAAUUCCCAGUGUAGAGGUGAAAUUCGUAGAUAUUGGGAAGAACACCGGUGGCGAAGGCGGCUCACUGGCUCGUAACUGACGCUCAGGCGCGAUAGCGUGGGGAUCAAACAGG
rnacentral:rRNA from 1 species